UCCUUCUCUACGUUCUUGAC
rnacentral:snRNA from 1 species